AUUGAACGCUGGCGGCAGGCCUAACACAUGCAAGUCGAACGAGUGGCGGACGGGUGAGUAAUGUCUGGGAAACUGCCUGAUGGAUGGGUAUAACUACUGGAAACGUUAGCUAAUCCCGCAUACCAUCAGAUUUUCCCAGAUGGGAUUAGCUAGUUGGUGGGGUAACGGCUCACCAAGGCGACGAUCCCUAGCUGGUCUGAGAGGAUGACCAGCCACACGGGAACUGAGACACGGUCCAGACUCCUACGGGAGGCAGCAGUGGGGAAUAUUGCACAAGGGGCGCAAGCCUGAUACAGCCAGGCCGCGUGUAUGAAGAAGGCCUUCGGGUUGUAAAGUACUUUCAGCGGGGAGGCGUUACCCGCAGAAGAAGCACCGGCUAACUCCGUGCCAGCAGCCGCGGUAAGAC
rnacentral:rRNA from 1 species